CGAGCGAGGAGACUGGAGUGGAAUUUUCCAUCUGCCAUGCGACGACGGCAACUCUCGGGGGGCGUCGUGUUACGCGCACCGAGCGACGCUGGGGGGGCUCCUCGCCCCUCGUUAUUCUCCAGGCUGGGUCAGAGGGAGCUGAAGCCCAUCCCAGCAUGCAGUGGGUGAGAGUGUUUCUUGCAGAAUAUAGCCGUUUUCAAACACAUGGACAACUCUGGACAAAGUUCACAAAGUUGCGUCGGGCCAUUUUUUCGGAGCUUGCCUUUCACAUACGAUGAACUCUGCCUACACGGACGAAGAUUCCGCUGCGGAAUGCCAUGUUUUUGUUUACAGUCAUCAAACCCGCUGUGAAUUCUCCGGAGAUUUUUUACUUGGGGUCUGGCAGGAUUUUGCUGACGUUUGAAGACGAUGUCCGAACUUCAGCGCAUGUCUGAAAACCUUUUAGAUUGUGUCUGUGGCAAUAGCUGGCAGGGAGGGGAAGGCUGUUAUGGCUUAAAAAAAAUACUAAGUUAGAGAUCUAUUAUAUAAUUAUGUGUACUGAAAAUAUUUUUUCAUCAUGAAACUGUUGCGGGGAUAAAUGAGACUAUGGCAGGAUGCCACAGUCUGGGUAAUUGAUGGGAAACACUCGUGGUCACAUGAAAACCAUUCACGUCUCUUCAGAUUCCUAAUUAUCCUCACAAGGCCCCACUUAGGCGUCACCGGCUUCUGAAAAUAACUCCAACCUUCAUGUGGAUUGUAUUAUUUGAUUGAAAAGACAUGGAAACACGGAGGGGAGGAAAUGCUGCUUUCACAUAUAUUCUCAUUUUUUUGGGUUUGAUAGCCACGAUAGACAAAUUAUUGUUAUGUGUUUUCUGCUAUGUGGUUGUGAGCAGAAGUGUAUGGGUACGUGUGUGUGUGUGUGUGUGUGUAAGUGUACACAAUUACUCAAAAAGACAUGCAUGCAUGGAUUUUCUAUAAACUUGGUGGGAAUAUUCCUUGGGAGGAUAUCUCCAGAUGAUUGUCUUUUGGAG